AGGUGAAAUCUUGCAGCUCAACUGUAAAAUUGCCUUUGAAACUGGUUAUCUUGAGUUAUUAUGAAGUAGUUAGAAUAUGUAGUGUAGCGGUGAAAUGCAUAGAUAUUACAUAGAAUACCAAUUGCGAAGGCAGAUUACUAAUAAUCAACUGACACUGAUGGACGAAAGCGUGGGUAGCGAACAGGAUUAGAUACCCUGGUAGUCCACGCCGUAAACGAUGGUUACUAGCUGUUUGGACUUCGGUCUGAGUGGCUAAGCGAAAGUGAUAAGUAACCCACCUGGGGAGUACGUUCGCAAGAAUGAAACUCAAAGGAAUUGACGGGGGCCCGCACAAGCGGUGGAGCAUGUGGUUUAAUUCGAUGA
rnacentral:rRNA from 1 species